GACGAACGCUGACGGCGUGCUUAACACAUGCAAGUCGAAGGGAGUGGCGAACGGGUGAGUAACACGUGAGUAACCUGCACUUUUCUUUGUGAUAAGCCUGGGAAACUGGGUCUCAUACUGUAUUGUUUGGGAUGGGCCGGCGGCUUAUAAGCUUGUUGGUGGGGGUAUGGCUUACCAAGGCUUUGAAGGGUAGCCGGCCUGAGAGGGUGGUCGGUCACACUGGGACUGAGAUACGGCCCAGACUCCUACGGGAGGCAGCAGUGGGGAAUAUUGCACAAUGGGCGCAAGCCUGAUGCAGCCAUGCCGCGUGUAUGAAGAAGGCCUUCGGGUUGUAAAGUACUUUCAGCGGGGAGGCGUUACCCGCAGAAGAAGCACCGGCUAACUCCGUGCCAGCAGCCGCGGUAAUAC
rnacentral:rRNA from 1 species